rnacentral:lncRNA from 1 species
CCUGUUUUGUUUGUUCCUUUUGUAGGUUUACUUAGUUUCCACUCAGUCAUGUUCACACACAGAUUCAUGCAUCCAUGCACUUUACAUACACCCUACAUUAUGACAUUUCCACACCUCAUUCCUUUUUCUUUGUUUAAAGUUAAUAGUUUUUGGUUUACAAUAAAGAACCUUUUGAUUGGCCUAUACCUGUUGUUCAUGUCCCCUCAUUUUUGCCACAGGCUAUGAGCCGGCCUGUGACAAGUGGGGGCUCAUCCAAUACUUCAAAAUGAGAAGAUCCUGCCAUGGAAAAGACGACUAGGUGGACAUAAAGUGGAAAGGAGGGGAAAUAACUCGCACUAUGCAGCAGGACACCUUCAGCUGUGGGGUCUUUGUAAUGCAGAUGGCCAAGGAAGUUGCAUAGAACUUCCCCAACAUCCCCUCUCAAAUUGAUAUGGAACCUUCAAAAACACAUGGAGCAACUGCGAAAAGAAAUGGCUGAGAAUUUACUAAAAAUGUCUGAGUUCAACAAAGCCAACAACUGCGUCAUGUGUGCCACUGAUAAAGAACCUGGAUGUGGCCCAAAGACUGACUGGUGUGCUGUGCCUAGGAAUGAAGACAAGAGUUCAACAGAGUAAAGAACACAAACUGGAAGUGCUGUCUUUGUUGUUGAAAAUGUAUGCUAUACCCCAGCCACACUGAAGAGGCUCUGAAAUGUACAUCAACCAGGGAUAAAGAGAAAGUUAACACUGUG